GGAUGGCUCCGAUGUCGGAGAGAUGUUACAAUGAGCUACCUCCAAAGCUAUUCCUCCUUCAGUGACAUUCAAAUGUCUGCCUUAUCAACUGUCGAUGGUAGGUUACGCGCCUACCAUGGUUGCAACGGGUAACGGGGAAUCGGGGUUCGAUUCCGGAG
rnacentral:ncRNA from 1 species